AGUUACGAACAAUCUGUGCGACGUAUAUACAAGAAUCAACCCAUGCGGCUUGACCAAGUGUAUAACAGACCACGGAAAACCAGCCUGUCGACCGCUAGAGCCACCAGCCGAAAAUAACAAGAGUCGUAAGAUAUUGGUCAUAUCGUUGGCAGUCGGCAUCCCAGUUGUAUUUCUAAUUGUUAUUAUGGUAACUGUGUGGCUAUGUGUGCGAAAGAAGGAGAAUUAAAAGGACAACUCAUUGGUCAACGACAACGUACAGUUAAGAUGUAUCUAGCAGCUCAAAUGGUAAUUAAUACGUUCAGACGUUGUGCACGAAGACGGGUUAUCUGUUGGUAUAGUGUGAA